UUCAUCUCCUUUCUCCCCUCCGAUACGCUCGUCGUCGUGGGCUAGGGUUUUUGCGCCAGAGAGUGCUCCACAGCAGGGUUGCAUUUUCUCCGGUGGUCUCUUCCCUUUCUGUUGGGGCUUCGGCGAGGAGGACGAGAGGGUGGUGGUUAGCUGCAGUCGGCUUUUUGGGUUGGAAGUCGAGAUCUUUUCCCCUUAGAUCUCGUCUGGCUUCUAUGUAUUGUCGGUGGUUCGCUGCUUCUGGUCCAAGGAGUCAUCGGCCUUGAUUGGGGUUAUCGGUUCUCGCUUCGUCGAGUCUGGGUCCUCUUCUUGCCAUGCUCUGUGUCGGUGGAUCUUAUUAUCACGGCGGCGAGUUGUGGGUUUGAGCACGCAGGUGGGUGGUGCUCAAGCUCAGUGGCCGGCUCGUGUAGGUUAUGCUUGCGGUUUAAAAAGCGUUUUUCUACGCCGCUUCAGUGGCCGCUUGCUUGGCUUCCUCACCUUCGGUUCUCCUGUUCGCGGUUUCUAAUCUGGUUCUUGAUUUGUUCUCUCUUGGUCGACAGCUCUCUUGUGCUUGUCGGAGUAAGGGGGUUCUGGUCGGGAUGUGCCCUUGUUCUUAUUCCCGUCUUUGCCGAGCCAUGUGACGGCUGUAGCAGCAACAACUUCAGUUCAUCGGUUCUCGUUGACUAUGGGUGUGUGGUGGUUCUUGUGUCUUUGACCGCUACAUCUAGUGUCUGUUUUUCUCUCACAUCCCAGCGCUACAUAGGUUUGCUUAAAUCUUUAUGUGGUGGUGUGCGAGGCAGUUGUGUGCGGGAUGGGCUCAGGUUAGGAGUACGGUGGUUGCGACACGUUUUGCUUGGAUCGGCACCUUGUAUAGGCCGUAUCCGGGUCAAAUAAUUGCUUGGUUUGGUUUUGUGGGUGACGUGUGGCCGCUGCUGGUGCUGUUUGUUCAUGUGGGCAGGUGCUUUGAAGCUCUCAGCAAGCUGUUCUCAGGUGGGCCAUUAUCUUUAAGAGCGGAUCAUCGGAGAAGCCAAAAUUACUGGGAUUUCGACUCUCGGUUAAACUUGGUUCAUCUUUUUGCGGCAAGCGGAUGGUGCGGACUUGGUUGAGCCUUCCGACUGCGGUGGUGAUUGUUGUGUCCGCCUUUCCUGUUGAUACUUGAUCGAGUAUGUAUUUAUGUUUACUUUUUCUUUUCUUCUUCUUGUCACCACUGUGCUUCUGUCAAAAAAUAAAAGUUGGUAAUAAUAUCUUUACAUUUUUACCAAAACAAAAUGAACAUGGCGAUUGGAAGCCAUCCUAUAAAAUGCAGCGAAUCAUAGUUGACACUAUAAGGUGCUCCAGGCUGUAUCUGUGGCAUUUUACUAGAUGUUUCCAAAUGAAAUUUGGUAGCUCAUCAAGAAACUUCUCUAUUUACUUAACCAAUGUUGUUUUUAUGGUUACAUGCAUUUCAGUUUUAUUCAUCUGAAACCCUGAUACAUGUUUAUAUGUUUAUGGAACAAAACAAUUUAAACCGACAUUCGUAUAUAUUACUGGAGUAAAGGUUUUC